GUUAUCUCAGACAACUGAUGGAAAACACAGAGGAAGGACUGAAAAAACCCCAUUGACUUAAAGUUACAUCGUGAAGUAGCAAAAGAAGCCAGUAAACUUAAAUCUUGGUCUGGACACAAGAUUUAUUGGCUCAAAAAGAACUGAGCUUCUCUCUCCCCUCCCAGUCUGACAUCAAAAUAACAGUACUACUGUACACAGGAUUUCCAAAGGGCAAAUCCACGUGGGAAGCCCUGAAGAACAUUCUGCUGUUUAAUGGGGACAGUAUUUCAGAACUGCUCGUUCCUUGUCAGCCUGGGGCAGUUUCAGCACUGGGAAUCUGGAGCUCUCUUGAGGCAUUGCUCAGUGAUAAAGCUGGUUAUUCUUCUUCCUACAUAUUUCUGCUUGUUUAUCUUCCUCCAAGCCUUGCCUCCUGUUGUACAACCAUUCAGAGAUGAUGACAGCCCUGAUUUCAUAUAAGAGAUUAGCAACAAAGUCUGGUCCAGCUGUUAUCUAGCCCAGCUGAACUCUUGCAAGAGAUGCUCAGCUUCAGAGUUCCAACCUGAAAAUGUGAAUGGCUCUAGGACUGUUGGGUGUCUGUGACAGCUCAGUAUUAAUGGCAUUCUGUACUGAAAUAAGGGCCUGGCUUUGCCACGUGUUGUAAGGCAUGCAAUUACCACAUGACUGAGCUUACAAGAACAGGAGUCAAGACAAAAGGAAGGGAGCAGAAAGAGGUAUUGCUUCUACUGAGAAGAGAAGCUGAAGGACAGAAAGAGGGUUUGUAAAAUGACAAAUCAAAGCAGAAGACAUGGCUCCAUCCUGAUUUCAGGGUUCAGAAGAAAGACAGGUACUUUCAAGUAAAACAAUAACAACCCUGUUGUCUGAAUAAAGCUUAGAGCAGACAUACUAAAACCUGACAGAAAAACUGAGAGGCUUUUAUUUGAUUAACUCUUGGUUGAAUUUUAACACGUUUAGGGCAGUAUUUGUAAAUAUGAUCACUGCUAUAUCUCAGUGCUUCAAAAUGCUUUUUGACAUGAACAGGUAUUUUAAAGGGGGCAACUCUUCUGAAACAGCAUAUAUUACAGUCUCUGUAUGUAACUGCUCCUUCUGGAGAGAGCAGUGCCACAGCACUGAGGGCACUGGCACCAUCACUGCACAGCAGAGGAGAACAUCAUUGGUCUCUCCCAGAGAAAAGCUCACUGCCUGUUUCUGGAGCUCUGCAGGCAAGAUAUUGCUUUUUUUUAAUUCAGAUCACAUUAAUAUUAAAGCUUUAAUUUUAGAAGUUCAUAAUACAUUUAUGUUUGUGUAUCAUUCCAAAAUUAAUAUUUGCAAAUUGACAUUAUUAAUAUAUUGUCUUUUGUUUUUUUCUAGAAGCUUUCACCCAGAAAUGAAAAUCCUUUAGUCAUUAGUGUUUUGUAGCACUAUUUCAUCUCUGUUACAAAGUGAACUCUUA